rnacentral:rRNA from 1 species
ACGUACACUCCUACGGGAGGCAGCAGUGGGGAAUAUUGCACAAUGGGCGCAAGCCUGAUGCAGCCAUGCCGCGUGUAUGAAGAAGGCCUUCGGGUUGUAAAGUACUUUCAGCGGGGAGGAAGGCGAUAAGGUUAAUAACCUUGUUGAUUGACGUUACCCGCAGAAGAAGCACCGGCUAACUCCGUGCCAGCAGCCGCGGUAAUACGGAGGGUGCAAGCGUUAAUCGGAAUUACUGGGCGUAAAGCGCACGCAGGCGGUCUGUCAAGUCGGAUGUGAAAUCCCCGGGCUCAACCUGGGAACUGCAUUCGAAACUGGCAGGCUAGAGUCUUGUAGAGGGGGGUAGAAUUCCAGGUGUAGCGGUGAAAUGCGUAGAGAUCUGGAGGAAUACCGGUGGCGAAGGCGGCCCCCUGGACAAAGACUGACGCUCAGGUGCGAAAGCGUGGGGAGCAAACAGGAUUAGAUACCCUAGUAGUCCCAUG